AAUUUGAGACAAGUAUAACUCCAGAGGAAUCUGACUGAACAGCAGAGCAAUAAAAUUGCAGCCAUCUGAUGAGAAAGUGGGGGCAAGAGAAGCUUAAUGGAAGAUGAAACAAUGACAGCAUACUUGUGUGUGGACACGCACAAUGCAGGAGAGAAGGAAAGUCUGAUGAUUCUUCUCUAAAACGGACCUACCAGCGACAUCCUCAUCCUUGUGGGGACCAGAGUUGACGUGUAAAGAGUCUGGUACAAACAGGCACUCAAACGGUAGCUGUUACUGUCAUCAAUGGUAAUACAGGCUCUG
rnacentral:lncRNA from 1 species